rnacentral:lncRNA from 1 species
GGGACGUCAUGAGCCGAAGCCAAGGCAGAGUUUCCAGGACAUAGAAUCUUUGAUAUGGAGAGAACCAAAGAGAUGAUUCAGUUCAAGUCCCUCAUUUACAGAUGAGGAACAUAAGGCCCAGGGAACCGAAGGAACCUGUCCAAGGUCACAGACUUUCGGAGGCAUAUUUAAAAAUCCAGACUUGCAAAUCCACAGACUCUUGUCACUCCAUCCUUUGCCUUAGAGACUAAGAAAAACCCUGGGGGUGUCCCCUUACUCAUAAUUCUACUUUUGAAAAAUAAAUUCUCCAAGGAAAGCUUUGUUUUCUGGCCAAAAUAGUUGUGCUUGCUGAGUUGGGAGUGAUGGAACUCCUGAGACAGAGAUUGCCAAACUUUGCUGCCCCAACCACACCACAGACCCUGCAGCUUCCCUGCAGCUGGAUCUCCUCUACAUGGAAAAUAGCAACAGGGCAGCACCACCAACCACCACCAGCCUCUACCAGUCAUCACUGUACUUACCUCCACCAGUUGCAGAGCGGGCUGCCUUGCUCCUGGCCAUUUUCUUACCUCUGUAAAUGUUCUUAAGCCUCAAGAGCUGUGAGACCACUUCCUGUGGGUGUGUGAUGGUGACAGAGGGGGAAAUACAAAAGCUUGGCUGAAAGAUUUCAUUCUGGUGUUUCAUGCUAUUCUGGCCACAGAUGUCUGCAGGACUAUUAAAAUCUCUUUUCUAACCUGGAAAUGCCAAUUAAUUCUCUCAAGGCCAUGCUGCUUUUUGCAAGGGUCUCAGGUGUCCAGAGCGGGUAGACGUGCUCUGGAUAUUCAACUAUUAUAUUAGUAAUGCGUGGAGUAGCCGAGUGGUUCACACGUUACAAAAUGCUCUUGUAAGACUCUUUCCUAGACUCCUGUAGCCUCGAAAGGCUGGGCCAUCUUUCCCCAGCACUGUCCCAGCCCUGACACCUGCCCCAACUCAGCUACUGAGGUUGACAUUUCAACAGUUUAACUCAUCAGAUAGAUGCUUUCUCCUUCCCAUCAGCCUUGAUUCUCUUUUUCCUAGAUUUCCACUUCCUUCCCUUUUUUCUCUUCUUCCUCUCCCUCACCACCCCCAUCAUUUGUUGGCAUAUAGCAAACUCUGCUUUUCUAUCUGCAACAAAUAUUUUCUGAUUGCUAAGCCCUCUAAUUAGGUCCUGAUGAGAGAACAGUGAGUAGAUAGAACGGAUCCCUGCCCUCCGUAUGUCAUCAGUUUAGUGGUUCCUGUACUGCCAGACUGACCAUGUCACCGGGGCUGCAGCAUCCUGCCUCCCCUUUGUUCACAGAACUUAGGACAGGGAGGGAUUCCUUGACCACCACCUUCAUUUUAUUUUACACACAGACACACACACACACACACACAU